UAUCUGAAAACACCUCUAGGAAGAAAUACCACACCAAAACUCAUCUGGUUAAGAUGGAAGAAAAAUGCUUCUGCCGACGAAGAAAAAAUUUGCCAGGGUUCACCUCUAGACAUUUUUAAUGCCCUUGCCUGCCCACCCUUUCCAAUUACAGGCAUUUGUCGGGCAUGGAUGGUGGUUUUGUUGGUUUGAUUUCAAAUACCCAAAAGAAAGACAAUGGCAAAGAAGAAGAAUCCCCUAGUUUUUUUGGAUGUCUGUAUAGGAGGGGGCCAUUAUGAAAGGAUGGUUUUUGAGCUAUUCUUUGACAUUGCCCCCUUCACUGCAAAAAAUUUUCGUUUGUUGUGUACAGGAGAAAAGGUUGAGAUUGGAGAAAGUAAUUGAGCACAGGUUGAGAUUGGAGACAAGUAUUUCUGAGAAUCAAUUUAGUUUUUAUGCCAGGUAGAUCAACUACAGAGGCGAUUUAUCUACUAAGGGGAUUAAUGGAAAAGUAUCGUUUUAAAAAUAAAGAUCUACACAUGGUUUUUAUUGAUUUGAAAAAAGCUUAUAACCGUAUACCAAGAGAAGUGCUUUGGAAAGCGUUAGAAAAAGAGGAAGUACGGAUUGCUUAUAUUAAAGCCAUACAAGAUAUGUAUGAGGGGGUAAAAACUAGUAUAAGAACGCCUAGUGGUCAAACAAAGGAUUUUUUUAUAAAGAUUGGACUACAUCAGGGAUCAUCUCUGAGUCCUUAUUUGUUCAACUUGAUUUUAAAUGUUUUGACGGAACAUAUUCAAGAGGAAAUCCUGAAAUGUAUGCUUUUCGCGGAUGAUAUAGUUCUUAUAGCAGAGACAAGAGAAGAGGUUAAUUGCAAACUUGAGUUAUGGAGGAGGACAUUGGAGUCGAAAGGUUUUCGUCUGAGUAGAAGUAAGACGGAAUAUUUAUAUUGUAAAUUUGAUAAAGGACUAUUCGACAAUAAUUUGGAAGUGAAAUUGGGAGAUCAAAUUAUACCUCAAGUGGAAAAGUUUAGAUAUUUGGGAGCCAUUAUUCAAAAUGAUGGCGAAAUCAGUGGAGAUAUUUCACAUAGAAUUCAAGCUGGGUGGUUUAAUUGGAGAAAAGCCAAAGGAGUUAUUUGUGACAGUAAUGUGCCUAAUAAACUUAAAGGAAAGUUUUAUCGCACUGUUAUCAGACCGGCAAUAUUAUAUAGUAGUGAAUGCUGGGCUCUAAUGGGACAGUAAGAGCAUAAAGUUGGAGUAGCAGAGAUGAGAAUGUUACGAUGGAUGUGCGGACAUACACGUAAAGAUAAAAUUCGAAAUGAGCACGUACACGAAAAAGUAAGGGUAGCACCUAUUGAGGAAAAAAUGGUAGAAAAUCGGUUAAGAUGGUUUGGGCAUGUACAAAGAAGACCAAGGGAGGCACCAGUGAGAAGAGUGGAACAUAUAACUUUGAGUCCGAUUAAGAGAGGUAGAGGAAGGCCUAAGAGAACACUCUUGGAAGUUGUUAAAUGCGAUCUCUUAAUUAAUAAUAUUCCUAAAAGUUUGAUAAAUGAUAGAGCACAAUGGCGUCUUGCAAUCCAUGUAGCCGAUCCCACCUAGUGGGAUAAAGGUUUGUUGUUGUUGUUGUUGUUGUUGUUGUUCAGGAGAAAAGGGAAGCAGUCCAAAAACUAAAAUGCCUCUGUAUUACAAAGACGCUUACUUUCAUGAGGUUAAGGACGGUGGCUCCUAUGUGAAGGGAGGUGCUUUUUGCUAUAAAACGGGGGAUGGUGGAGAAAGUGUAUAUGGUCCCCAUUUCCCAGUAGAAUUUCACAGCUGCGCUCCCAAAUGGAUUAAAGUCGACGGAUCAGAUCGAAGGUGGUGAGGCAUUGGGCUCGGAUGAUGGGAAGGCCCAAACGUCAACUGGUCUCAGACGCAGCCUUCGGAUCAAACAUCAGGCCGAGGCACUGAGUGGAAAGGGUAUGCUAUGAAUAAAUUGGAAUGUUCUCUCAUUAUUCUCUCUCUUCCCUGUGGCAGAUCUUCUGCCAUUGACUUCCUUUCUGUAAUGUAAUGCUGUAGCCUGUAGGAGCCUAUCGAGUUGUAAUGAUUGCAUGGUUAGUGGAGUAAG